ensembl:lncRNA
CUCAGACAUGGCUGAACCACCAGCUAGCUGAGGUACUUCAGCACCUCUGGAAAGAAAGCAAGAGCUCUGUAUGGCAUACGGGGAGGGCUUUCAACAGGUGACAGAACAUUCUUAGAACUUUGCUGCUUGUUACUCCCCAAGAGAGGAUUCAUCAAAUUGGAUGUAUUAGGUCAUUUCAUAUAGUCAGGAGCAAGAUACAUCCAGCAUCAUCACCUAAAAAUGCAUAAUUGUCAAGUCAUUAUGGCCAUCUUGCAAAAGUUGUGGUAGUAAAAGCAAACUUAAUGACUUGAUGAAUAUGACCAGCAGCAUUGAAGAGUGAUCUUGCUGCCUCACUCCUAACUGGAUUUCUUCAGAGAUUGCUGAGAGUGAUGCAUCACUGGAACAGCACUAAGAAAAAACAGUCAGUGGAAGCACAAAGGGAAGAAGGCUGAAUUCUGCUAUUCAUUUUCACUUUAAUGAAUUCCUGUAAGCCUCGUCUACGUGCUGUGCAAGUAGUAAGACAAUACGUGGUUUGAAGUGACACGUGACUUGGUAUCGUGAAAGGAAGAGUCUACAAGGACUGUUUAGGGAUAUCUUCCCACCCCAGAUGCCAUAAAACAAAUGGGGAAAAGUAAAUUUUAGCCAAGAACAUUUUAACAUCUGUAUGCCAUUUCAUAAAAUGAAUAGAUUUGAGAGAAUGGUGAAACAUUUGUUUUUUCUUUUUUUUUUUCUCCAGUAAACACUAAGUUAAACUUAUAUUUAAUACGUGGAAUAUUAAGAUGCUAAGAUUAUACUGAACUAUUUUGAGAGUCUUAGCUAUUAAUCGAUAUUUUUCAGUGGAUUAUCAUGGAGGCCAAACAUCAACUACAAAAAACUGCAAACAGAAAAUCACACAAUUUAGCACAGAGAAUGAUGAUGUUUUCCACAGCUAUCAAAUCUUUCAUAGACUUGAGAACCUCAGUGGGAAAGAUAGUUUUCUACUGAUAUAUUACUAUGAUACCAGGAAGACUGUGAGGGAAUAUAGGCAUUCGAUAGUGAAAGUACAGAGACAGUCAUUAACACUCUGCCUUACUUACACUGCUGAUUGGGUAGGUAGAAACAAUUAUUCCCGAUCAGCCACUGACAUGAAUGUUGCUUUGGAUUUGUCCCCAUGGCUUCCAGAAGAGAGCACAAGGCAAUCCUGGGCCAUGGAGACCACGGCACUUUGUGUGCCCAGGCAGGUUGUUAAGAGGCUCUGCUGUCCCACCCUUCUCUUUCCAAAGGCCAGUCAAAAUGAGGCCUAACUUCUGCUGUUGGAAGCUGUUUUUCCUUGAAAUUGGAUGCUAUUAAUAAGAUUCCAACUGCGUGGGCUCCUCUUAUGAUUUUAACUUCUUUUUGUUUUAUUUCCUUCCUGAUGCCAACACACUGAAGUGGUUGUUCUCCACUUAUGUAACUGAAACUGGUUAAAUGGAUGAAAUAGAGCGUAUUUUAGAUAUAGAUGAGUAGAUCUAUUUCUAGGUGAAAAUUUCUAUGUCAGUUGUAGUGUGGAUCUCGCUGUCUAAAUCCUCAUUAGUGCAGCUUACAAGGACAGCUGUCUCCCUCUCAUGAUAGCUUCCUUUUUUUUUUUUUUUCAUAUAGUAUAGAGACUUCUCCUCUGUCCAGACGAUGGUAGGCACUACAUCAUUGGCAAUGGGGAUCUGGCAUCCAAAAGCACAGUACAGGAAGAAUUGGGCUCCUUGAAGCAGAGCUUAAUCUUUAGUAUAUGCAAGCAAAAACCUGAUACCUAAGGAUUGUAGUAGCUAACUAUUUACUGUUUAAAAUAAACCCAAUAUGAGGCUGCUUCCACUGGACUUGAAGAAACUUAGAAAUUUUGGCCCCCAAAGCACCUUUCAGUUCCAUUACUUAAUCAUUUACAUUUAUUUUACAGAAAUAAACCUUUGGAUAGCAUGUCACUGUAACCACAAUCACUGCCUUAUCAUAGACACAGAGUGCUGUGAUCAACAAGAGUGGUGCAACCUCAGUUCAACUCGCUGCUAUUUAGGAAGGAAGAACACUCCUCUACACCCAAUUUAAACCUAAAAAGCAUAUUAGAAUGUACUAGAAGUUCCUUGUUAAUUUAUAGUAUCAUCUCCUUUUUUUUGUUUUCCAAUACCUUUCUAAAACUUUUUCCUUUUUUUCCUCUCUUGAAGCUCAAAGUAUCUCAGGGCAUUGGAGGACUUUACAGUAACUAAAAUGGUUGUGGCAGGCUAUGCACUGCCUGAGCUGCAGCUAAAAAGUACUUGAGAGUGCUUGGAGGUGCACAGACUGCUAGGACUGUCCUGGAGAGAGCAUCACAUCCACCACACACUGGGUAAGUGCUUGUUGCAGUGAACUGUAUCUCCAGAAAAUUUCAAGGCAUUCUGAAGAGAAAUCUGGAAGGAACAUCACAAAACAGAGCCAGGAAGCAAGAAGAAUCAGGGAUCUAUUCCUUACCUUUAUUCCCUGGCCCUCUGGCAUGACUUCAGCAUACUUAGUACUCUAUAGCACGUUCAGUGAUCAAGAUAAAACAUCACCUUCAAGCUUGAUUCAGCAUAGUACCUUUGUGUCUGUAUGUACAUCAACAAAUGCAUGCAGACAUACAAAAAAAGUCUGGAUACAAAAUCAAGACCUGAACCAAAAGAAAACACUGAAGUCUUGGAAUAGCAUCAUAAAACAACCAGACAAUGAACCAUUUGUAUAACUUAUAAAUUAUUUUUCUAAUGUCUCAUUUAUAGAAAUAAGUGAUUUAGUUGUAGGAACUUCCAUUUACAAGGAGUGAAUGCAUAGUUUCUUUUGUUCAGCAUGCUAUUUUGGCAGUGAUACAGAAAUGCCUACUGAUGUUUCUCAAUUGCUGUCAGGUCUUUAAUAUUUCCAUACUUAAUGCCUAUCAUUGCGUCUUAUCACUUUUUUUUUUUCCAUUACCCUAUCCCCAAAUGCUGGCUUACCGAAAAGGUGAAUCACCCAUUCCCAGUUUUUGUGUAACAGAUAAGGGAAACAACUGAAGAUGAACGUGAGGCUGGUAUAUGUCAGUAAGCACUGCAAUGCAGGGAAGAUUUGGAAGUAUGCACUCAAAUAUUUCAUUUCCUGUGCUUGACUGGGAUCAGAGCAUUCAUAACCCCCUAAGUCUGCAAUCUGAGUUAGCAAAGUUAGAAACACAUUUUUUGUGGCCCAAAAUUUACUUUGUGAUAUGAAAAUAUCCCCUAUUUAUUUUCUUCUUGCAUGACAUUGCACAAGUCAUUGCAUAUAAUAAAUCAACUGGGAGGACAAACUUUUUCAAGCUCUGUCAGGGAGGCUCUGAGCUCCUUUUCUCUGAGUGCAAUAAGUGACCCUGCUCUGAAACACUGGAAAAGCGUUGAAAGCAAAACAAAGAAAUGUUUUCCAUUGCUUAGACUUAUGAGAGGUAUUUCUACUGUGGCAACAAGAGGCAUAGCUCAAAUCAAAGUCUGGAAACUAAAAAUAUUUUUUAAAAUUAAAAAUAGAAUUCCUGUGAAAUAAGUAUAACAAAUUUACUAGUCCUGAGGCAUUAAAAAAUGUCAUUUACCUUUCACUUUCUGAGUUGAUCAAUUGAUUGUUCACCUCCCAGUUUCUCUUCAUCUCACAGGAAGUUAGUGCUAUAGAGUGGUGUUCCUCAAAUAACUUCCCAAACAGAUUGUUUAACAUGUUGCCUUGUACAAAAUUCCAGUAGUAUUACCAUAUAUGAUUGCAUUUUAAAUAAAAUAACAUUUGUAACUGC